UCGUCAGCGCGCGCAGGGGGGCCGGGCAGGUGCAGAGGGAGCCUCUGCCCCCACCCGGGACUUUCUUAGACAGGGCUCGGGAAGGGUGUUUGCUAAGACCACUUUCUGAUCAGAUAACGAGCUGACACCAAUUCUUCUAUUUUCAGCUGGCACCGAGCGGGGUCCGACGUUAUCACCGGCCGGUUAUCUGUGUCCCCUGGAAGGAACUCCGGCUGUUCCCAGAACAGAACACAUUUUUCCAUCCCCCUUGCAUGGAGCUGGGGCAGUUGACCCAAGUUCUGUUCAGUGUGGUGAGAAGCAAUUUGGACCACUUCUAGACCUGGCUCAAAGACGUCCUGCACCAUCCUCACACUGUCUGUCGUUGGCUGGUUGGAUGCAGAGGAGACAGCAUAGCUGCUGCCUGAAGAGGUUCCUGAAUGAAUGAGUGGAGUGGACUUCCAUCCCUGCUCCCACCAAGCCACCACUGGACUGUCACAAGAGCGAGAGGGGGAGAAACAACAACUUUAUUUUAUUAAGCCACAGAUUCUGGAAUUUUUCUUAGCGUGGUUAGUCUAACCUGACAAAUACACAUUACUCUUCUCUCUUCUCCAAUUUUAUUAGAUCUUCAUUCUAAAGAUCCAAGAGUGCUGUUUAAAAACAAUCAAUACGCAAAGAAAAAGUCCUCAAUAUGGAAAGUACACAUGAUACAAGGUUAAUGAAAAAUGUGGGUUACAGAGCUGCACACUCACUUGCAACUACACUGGAAAUUAUGCAGAUAAAAUAGACUAUAGAGGCUGUCGGCUCUCACACCCUCAUUUGCCAGAUGAAGAAGCUGAGCUUCAAAGGAAAGUGAAUGCCCAAGGUCACACUCAAGGUUAGUCAAUGAAGAGAGACAGAAUAAGAAAGCAGAACUUGGACUCCGGGCCCCAGUGUUUUCCCCACUGCAUCAUGCUUCAUCAUUAGUCAAACAAAGGAGUCUCUUGAGAAGGGACAAAUCCUUUCAAAGCAUAAAAACCAAAGUAAUCCUAACCAUGCAUACGCAGAGUGUAACGUAGAAACAUUUCUCGUUCACAUGGGGCACUCACUGCCCGAGACCCUUCACCUUGGUGCUCUUCUGUAGCCCAGUGGCUUAACCUCUUUGAAGUUCUGUUUCCUCCCCUGGGAAAGUGACGAUGGUGGUGGUGGUGGUGGUGGUGAUGUUGGCAACAAUGAUGAUGAUAUUAAUGAGAAUAAUGUUACUAAUGAUGAUGGCUGGUCCUACCCUUUGUCAGGCACCAUGCCGAGUGCCUCAGUGCUUCAUAAAGAUCACUUCAUUUAAUUUCCAUGCCACUAUGAGGUGGGCAUGGUAAUCAUUACUGUUAUUACCAUCCCCUUUUAUCAGGCGAGGAACAGGCCUACAAAAGUUAAUUAACUCCCCGAAAGAUACUCAAAUAGUAAAAUGAUUAAAAUUAGAAGUUAAACUCAGGCAGGCCAGCUACAGAAGUGGAAUUCCAGUACACAUGUUGCAAAAAUCCUAACAAAUAGUUUGCAAAUGCCUAAAGUUCAGGAAAAGUAGAUCAUGCUAUGAUGACCCCUCUGAAAAGGAGGUAGAGAUAUUGGCCAACCUUCUUCAGAGACUUGUUUUGGGCUUCAUAUCUGAUCCCCCUCACACCACUAAAAUUCAUGUAUUAAAAUCUUUUUUUAAAAAACAUUUUAUUUAUUUAUGAGAGACACACAGCGAGAGGCAGAGACAAAAGCAGAGGGAGAAGCAGCCUCCCCGUGGGGAGCCUGAUGUAGGACUCGAUCCCUGGACCCUAGGAUCACACACUGAGCCGAAGGCAGACCUCACCUGCUAAGCCACCCAGGCAUCCCAUGUGUUGAAAUCUUAAACCCCCAGUGUGAUAGUAUUUGGUGAUGGGGCCUUAGGGAGGUGAUUAGGUAAAGAAGGUUGAGCCUCACUGAUGGGAUUGAUGUCCUCGGAAGAAGUAAAGUAGACUAGAGCCUGUUCUCUCAGCCGCAUGAAGACACAGCAAGAAGGCAGCUGCCUGCAAGGCAAGAAGUAUGUCUCACAAGAUACCAGAUCUGCCUGUGCCUUGAUCUUGGGCUUCACAGCCUUCAGAACUGUGAGAAAGAAGUAUUUGUUGUUUAAGCCUCUGGUCUAUGAUAUUAUUGUUAUAGCAGCCCAAACUCACUAAGACAGAGGUUGUUCUAAAGAAAAAAUGAAAUCAUAGGUUAUGGUGGGGCUUCUGAAACUACCACAUCCUAUAAACAUGAUGUAACAGCAUUAAUUCAUCUAAUUCUAAUAACUUCCCAAGGUAGUUACUGUUACUACCACCUUCAUUUAAAAAUGAGAAAACUGACUCACAGCCCAAUAACUUAGCCAAGGAAUGGUUGGCCUGGGAUGCAAAUGCAACAGUCUGGUACAACUGCCUGAAAUUUUAACCACUGCACUAGGAGUGUUUCUAAAAAUCACGAUUAUUUUUGAAGCAGAAAGUUCCUAGGUCAUAAGAUACAGUUCAUGUACUUCAUCUCUUGAGUUUGGAGUUGAUCAUAUGUAGAUAGUCACUCUCCCCAGGAUGCCUUCAAUCAUCCUUCAUCCUAACAAUCUAAAGAAUAGCCAGCUGUUGCCAGUUCCUAAUUUGGGAGUGGUCUAGAAGAACAAUGUGGAGAUCCAAGAGCAGCGCUCAGUGAGUUCCUUGAGUCCAUUCCCCUUUCCUCAGCCAGGCAUCUCAGUCUCUGGGGACUUGGUCAUUCUGGGUGACAGUGACAUGAGCUGAUGUGAGUGGGUGCCCAAGCUGCAUGCUAGCCAGCAACAUUUAAAAUGAAUGAGGCUGCUCUCCACUGAGCCCAAAUGCUUCACUGGAAAAAGCCAGUCACUGUAUUUUUUGCAAGACAGCUGCAAAAACAGGCCACCAAAUUCAGAGGCAAGUAGGAGAUGCAGAAGAGACAGGGAUUCACAGUGAUUGGGGAAAAAAAAAUAACCAUAUUACUAUGGCAGAAGUGCUGAGGAAGCCCGGGAGUCUCCACAUAGACAGUGAAGAGGCAGCAGGACCCAUGAAUUCAUUUUAAGAAAAGGAUUUGAAGCCUUGUCUAGAUUCAGAGAUUGUUAGAAUUGGAAGGAAACAUAAAUGCCAUAUUAGUCCACUUCCUUGUUUUACAAGUAAGAAAAGUGAUGGCCAGGAAGGUAAGUGACUCCCUCAAAGUCACAUAGCUGACUAAGGGCUCUGCAUCUAUGUAGAGGGUGGGUGGUGUGUACGAAUAGAGGGUGGCCCUACCUGGAGGGUAUGGGGCCCUGUGGGUCACUCCCACAUCCCUUCAAAAGGCCCUCCGCAAGGUGCAAAGUCCUUUCUGAUCUGGCUCCAUUAUUUCUGCUGCCCACCUCCCUCCUCACAUCCAUCCUGUGCCUACAACCCCAACCUCCUGGCUUUCCUUUAACCUGGCAAGCCUGCUACUGCCUGAGGUCCUUUGCACAUACCUCUUCCUCUGCCUGGAAUGCUCUUUCCUCAAAUACCCAUGUAUCUCAGUCUGCAGUGUGCUGGAACCAGCUCAGAUCUGGUCCAUUAUUGUCAAAUUUUCAGGAAUUUUGUGAGACAGUUGUUAAUUUACGGUUAAAUGUUACUAUAUUAAAAACAAAGGUGGGGCAUCUGGGUGGCUCAGUCAGUUAAGCAUCUGCCUGUGGCUCAGGUCAUGAUCUCAGGGUCCUGGGAUCAUCCAGCCCACAUCUGGAUUCACUGCUCUGUGGGGAACCUGCUUCUCCUUCCUCUGCUCCUCCCCCUAGCUUGUGCUUUCUCUUUCUCUUUCUCUCUCUCUCUCAAAUAAAUAAAAUCUUUAAAAAAAAAUUGUUUUAUGACAAAGGUAAUAAAUGCCCAGUGCUUCCUAAUUAUUUUGCUGCAUCCCACUUUUACCUGUGCUCUUGAGGUUAUUUAUGUGUAUUGUAUCCUUUUGGUGGGACUACAACUCCACAUUCAUGACUUCGUGUUGGUAGCUUAAAACUAGCCAUCGUGGGCAUAUUUACAGAAAUUGGCACAUCCUACAAACCAGGGCUUGCUUUCCUUAUUUUUCUAGACUUACAAAAGUAAUGGAUAAAAAUACUAGUAAUGAAAAAAAAAUACUAGUAAUGUAGAUUAAGCAUAAAAUUGUAUCAUGCUGAUAGCCGUUACAAUGUGACUAGCACAGCAUUUGAGGACAUCUCCUAGUAUUGGAAAACUCUUGUCCUUUUCAGAAGAGCAGUAACCUAAUGACAUUGAUGAAUGGGUGAAAUUCAGAUAUUCAUCUCUGUUGUUUCACUUUUUCUUAUUCAUUAAGGUGAAAGAAAAUAUCAGCUAGCAUUCAUGUCAGAACUACUCUUAUCAGUUAAAAUUAUGGUUUGGCUAUAAUUACAACCGAGUUCAGCAAAAAUCAACGAAAGCCUUUUAGGAGAAUUAACUGGCCAUAUAGAGUUUAACAUAAAGAGUAUUGUGUUUUGUUUAUUAUAUGUAUACUAUGAACUAUAUAUCUUUUUAUCAGUAAAAUUCAUUUUAAAACCCAUGUAUAUAUAAUAUGUUUAUUUAUUUAUUUGUUUUUUUGGAGAAACAGUUGCUAGUUACCCACAUACCUGUCAUCCCUUGCAUUUUAUCUGGGUCUCUGCUUAACCACCAUUAGCUCAGAGAAGUCCUGUCAGACCACAUUAGUGGGGUUUAUUAUGGCUUUCUAUCCUCUUAUUCCACUUUAUUUGCCUUCAUAGUAUUUAUCAUUACUUAAUGCUAUAUCAUAUAUGUAUCUAUUUACCUGUUUUCUGGUUCCUCCACUGAAUUAUAAUUUUUAAACUGACAAAAAAAUAAAAAUAACUUGUUUGGAUUACUGCUUAUUUUUCUCCUGUGUUGAAAAUAGAAGCCCAGUACAUAUCAGGCACUUAAUAAAUAUUUUUGAAAAAUGAAUGAAUACAACUGGCAUUCUCAGAUUCUUAGGUAAAUUUGUUGGAUCGUUUGUUAUAAGUCAAUGUUGGCAGGACUCUAGACCCCUCUCAUUGUGUUACACUCAAUAAGAACAUUUGCAAGUAAUCUAGAAAUCAGUAUAAGAAGGGAGGAAGAAAAAAAAAUAUUUUACAGCUUCUGAUCAGUGUUGUAUAACUAGCCUCUGACAAUUACAAGAUUGUUGUAAUACUUUCAAUAUUCUUUUAAUACUGGGGCACCUGGGUGGCUCCGUGGUUAAGUGUCUGCCUUCGGCUCAGAUCAUGAUCCUGAGGUCCUGGGGUCAAGUCCCGCAUGGGGCUCCCCACAAGGAGCCUGCUUCUCCCUCUGCCUAUGUCUCUGCCUCUCUUUCUGUGUCUCUCAUGAAUAAAUAAAUAAAAUCUUUUAAAAAAAUUGUAAUACUUUCAAGAUUGUUAUAAUACUUCCAAGAUUGUUCAGUAAAAGGUGAUAAGAUCUGUAAGUAAGUUUCUUAUGACAUCUGUAAACAAAGCAGGGAAGCCACCAUAUUUGAACUAAGACUGGCCACAUCCCCUGUGGGGUGGCUUUCCUGCUUCUAACACAUCCUAAGAGUCCCAUUAAUAAUUCAGUGGCUAGGAAAGCAACCAGGCAACAGAGAUGCCACUGUCCAAAUGGGAUGUCAAACAAGAGACCAAAUGUCAAAAAUGUCAUGAAGGAGGAUGGCCUGUGUACCUACACAGUGUCUCUACAGCACUGGACUAGCUGACCCCCUAAGAAUAGUGAACCCAGCAAUGAGAGGACCUAGAGCCAUGAGCUAAUUAGCCCCCAAUAUUGAGAGAGUAGAGGGUGAUCUUACAGAAGAGAGAAUGAACUUGUUCUGUACAAGCUCAGAAAAGGACUUAUGAUUGAAAGUGAUGAAAAAACUGACUUGAGUUUAAUUUUUUAUAUUCAUUCUAACAAUUGGAAAUCUCACACAAUAGGAAAUAUUGUCUGUUCACCUGAAGAUUUUCUGACAAAACAUACUCUUUGUCCUUAUGCUUUCUACAC